UAUUUCGACCCCCAUAGAAUAAUGACCCCCCGGUCAUUAUUCUAUAGAAAAAGUGACCCCCCGGUCAUAGUAUUAUGACCUCCAGAUCAUAGUACUAUGACUCCCCCACGUGAAGUAAACUGAACCUCACGAAGAAUAUUGACUCCCAUAAAAAAAACGACCCCCGGUCACUUGGUCAAAUUUAGUGAUAACUCAUGUAUCUAAGGCCUAAUUGCUGCAUUUUAUGCCCCCACUCGGGGCAGGGGGCAUAUAGAUUUGCCCUUGUCCGUCCGUCCAUCCGUCCUUCCGUUUGACCAUUAGCCCCAGAUACCAUCACUUGACACAGAAAUCAGAGCAUUCCGCAACGGGAAAAGGGAUUCUAUUUCUAGACGCUGUAUCUUGGUGUAUACAUUUUUUUCAGGAAAAUAACAAUUCACAAUACGUUCACAAAACACACCAGUGUCAAUAAUCACUGCAAACUUCGGUAUGAAGUAAUUCUUCAGAAGAAAACUGCGCAAGAAACUGCUAGCAUAGAACUUAGUAUUAAUAGAAGUUGCAAUACUUAGCAGUGACAGUAAAGUACGGUAGCGGCAACAAUAGAAAGUAGUAGUAGUAGUAGUAGUAGUAGUAGUAGUAGUAGUGGCAGUGGUUGUGGCAGUUGCAGUAGCAGCAGCAGCAGUAGCAGCAGAGGAAUAAGUGACAGCAACAACAGCAGCAGGAGAAGAAGAGGUAGAUGUACAAGACGUAUUAGUGGAAGCAGGUAUAGUAGUAUCAAUAGUAGCAGUUGUAGUAGUAGUAGUAGCAGAAGUAGUAGUAGUAGUAGUAGAAGAAGAAGAAGAAGUACAUGUAGUAAUAGCAAUAGAAGUAGCGGCACCAGUAGUAGUAGUACAAUCAAAAUGUUAACUAUUGGCAAUGGAGGGUAUUAGAGUUGUAGAUCUAGUAAAAUUGUCCGUUAGGUUUGGUGGGGAUCACUUUUUAAUAGAUAUUAUCGUCGAAAGUCUUUUUAGGAGCCGGUGUUUUAAACGGAAAGAGUAACUGUUUUAAAUAGAAUAAUGUCCGGGAAUCGAUAUUGUAUGAGAGUUCGAAUGCAGUAAUUUCGGCAGUGAGUAUUUUACAUGGAAGGAGUCACUUUUUCUAUAGAAUAAUAACCGGGGUCGUUAUUCUAUGAGAUUCGAAGGGAGUCAUCUUUAGGGAGUCAGUAUUUUACUUGGAGGGGUCAGUUUUUCUAUAGAAUAAUGACCGGGGGGUCGUUAUUCUAUAGAGUUUUCAAAGGGAGUCAGUUUUUUAUAAGGGGAGUCAAUAUUUUACAGGAAAGGAGUCACAUUUUCUAUAGAAUAAUGACCGGGGGGUCGUUAUUCUAUGGGGGUCGAAAUACUUCAUUACACCGGCACAGUUAAAGUUAUAUGAGGUACAGCAACUGUGAUUGAUGGACAGUCACUGGCCAUAGUAUAUAAUCAUCAAGUUUAACCGGCAUUUGUAUUAACUUUCUCUAUAAAUGAUGUAACGUUGGUAUAUGAGGAAGGCAUAAAUUGUUACACAGCACAGCGGUGCGGUGUAACGACCCAGUAAGUCAAAUGAACUCGUACAAAACCUUACACAAUUCACUCAUCCUUUGUAAAUCAAUCAACACGUUUUUCCCGGGGCAACGCCUUUGUUCAGUUCACUUAGAACGUGAUUUUCAUGACUACACAUUGUUAUUGUUGGCGCCAGCGAGAACAUUCAAAGGGACACGUCUAAAAUGGCUGUGUCUUUGUGGCAGAGAUAAAGUGGUGUAUAUAAUAUCAUAGAUGGGUCCAUGUGUUUUCAGAUUUCUACUGUAGCCUAAAAGGGUUGUGUUCAAGUGACAAAGUUCAAGAUCAAAGAAACAGAUCACAGGUGGAUGUAUUUUUCAAAUAUGGGAUAUCAAAUGGUUACCAUGGAAACGUACGCCUACAUCUAAGUAGUGGUAUCAAUGGAUGACAGACGUCCAGAUGUACAGUUAUACAGCAGAUGAAGCAUAUGAGUCGUGCCAUGAGAAAACCAACAUAGUGGGUUUGCGACCAGCAUGGAUCCAGACCAGCCUGCGCAUCCGCUGGUCUGGAUCCAUGCUGGUCGCAAAGCCACUAUGUUGGUUUUCCCAUGGCACGGCUCAAUUAUAAGGUGUGUAUGUUUACUUUUUCUUCCUUUUGGCAACAUUAUGUUAUGUUUGUUUCUGUUCAUACACACGCCUGUCUGUAUCUUAUACACACAACAGGUUUAGCACGGAAACGCAUGUCCACUUCAAUGGAUUGGUAUAAAUGGAUGACCGACGUUCAGUUGUACUAAGUUAUACAGCAAAUUUUGGAGCAUAAAGGGUGUGUAUAUUUACUUUUCCUUUGAUGCGUAAUUUGUAUAAAGGUAAUACUAAGAUUAUAUAUGUUUGUUUCUGUUCUUACACAUGCAUUUGUCUAUCUAUACACUUAACAGGGUUACCAUGGAAACGUACCUCUUCAACUAUACAAUGGUAUGUAUAUUUCCGCUUCGUUAUACUGUAUGUUUAGUGUUUGCUGUUUUGCCAGGGAUUUGUUUACAGUGGCUACUUGGUUGUUUUUGUGGUGGUGUUUGUUGUGGUGUUUGUUGUGGUGUUUUCGUGUUUAUGGAGGUGUCUGUGGUGGUUUCAAUGUGGUCUUCUCGGUUUUAUUCUUGAUGGUUGUAUUGUUUUGUUGAAAACGGGUAUUUGGUGCGUUUUAUUUGUUGUAUUUGGUUCUUCGUCAUGGUGUUUUUCUUUCUGCCAUUAACAAUGUAUUAUUACUCGCUUUGUAUACUGUAGAAAAUUAUUAAAAUAAGUUCAAUAUUACAUUGUGUUAUAUUAACUUUACUUGUCCAGCAAAUUUUAGAUACCCGGAAACACGUAUCAAGAUAUAUGCAGACGAAUAGGCAUCAUGUGCAGACGACAGCUUGGACUGGGAAGCGUGCGCCAUUGUUUUAUUUCUGCUUUUUAUUCCUUUUGUUUUGCAUUAUGUUGCUUUUAAUAUUAUACUAUUUAGUAUGCAUCUCUUUGCAGAAUUUUUAAGUUGAAUACAAGCAGGUGUAAAGAUGUCGCAUUGUAGAUGACACAAUGGUCCAGUGGAUGGUGAAGAUAGCGCGGCUGAUGUUGACUGUACAGACACACGUUAAGAUGUCAUGCUGUAGCUGUGACAAUGGUUUAGUGGACGGCGCAGCUUGGUUCUUCUUCUCGGACGCACUGAGUAUUCAGUCAGCAGAGCAUUAAGAAAGCAAAGGUCACUUUUCCACUUGGAGUAAUUCACAGUAGCAUGGGAAUGCGGACACAGAUCCUGGUUUUGGUGAAAGAAAUGCUCGAAAUAUCCGACGAGAAGCAAUUUCUUGGAUUAUACACGAAGAAAAUGUUAUUUGAUGGAAAAAUAGUGGCAGUAGAACUACCUUGCUGGUACCCUAACGAAGCCGGUCACCAGAUGUGCAUUGAAACCCUGUCGAACCCUUGCGUUAACAUGGUAAUCAGCCGUUAUCAACAAGGCAAGAUAGCGCAUGGUUAUAGUGGAAAUCAAGCCUUGGUGGACCUUUCUUCUGUAUUUGUCCCGUCUUGUUGAUGGUAGACAGUUGUUCCACACCUCGUACACAACAGAGAAACCCCCUCGAACGAAGACUUCGUUCAGAUCUAAAGGCAAGGAGACAGUGUUUGCCAUUAUUGAAAGACACAGGAAAAGAAGCAAUGACAGAAAACAAAUAUCACCAUACCGCCUUGUCUUUAAUAUUUCCAAUAGCUGACAGUCCGAUGUAAGCCAGAUUCACAAAUAAGAAGUAUCUGCAGAAGGAAGAACCAAUUAUGGUAGAUCCACGACAGUCCUGGCAACAUGGCAUCACCACAGCCCCGACACAAGCCUUGUUAAACUGAUUAUAAAUAAACUGACAUGUAUAUAAUUAUACCCUCAUGUACAAAGUACAUGGGAUUAUAUUGGAGUCACAUUUGUCUAUCUGUCCAUCAUGUCCGCUAGGAAGAUUAAAAAAACUGGCUUCAUUUAUUAGCCUCAACAGGAAUGUUCGUUGUGCACAACCCAAAUCACUAGGAACAAAGUCAUUACUACUCUUGGAGGACAAAGUUCAAAUAACUUUAAUUUAGUGUCCGCUCCAUAUAUUUCUAAACGAAUAUUUAGGUCAAGCAUUCGUUAUUGUACUCGCCCUGCCUGUAUAUUUUCUUAACAGCUGCGUAUAUUAGCAUUAUACUUCACGUAAGGGUUGAAAUUACUGGGGUCAUAUUUUGCUGGUUAAAUCUUAGAUUGCUUCUAAUAUCUUCUCAUACACCCGCUCCUACCCCCUACCCUAACCCACCCCCAAAAGGAAAAGAGUCUUAUUGUUUCAUCACUCACGCUUACUUAUAUCCUAUAACAAUAAAUAUUGGUCAGCAUUUUUCCGAAUAGUCACGCGGGCUUUCUUUACAACAGUUCUUGAUAUAAAAUUAGGAUAGUUAAUAUAUGUAAGCACUCACAACCUAGUUCAUUGGGUCAAUGGUCAAGUUCUGACUUAAAAGACCGCAUCAUAUUGUCUAAUCUAAUAAAGUAAGUACUGUCAAUUCCAUUUAGCCGAAAUAACGAAAAGCACAACACAUGCCACUAGGUUAAAGGUCACUGUGACAUAUAGGAGGUCAAAGGUCAAAUAGGUUUGUGUCUGCUACAUAUCUUGUAACCCCAUUUUCCUUACGACCAUAAAACUAGCAAUAAAUAUCAAGAAGACCUGUAUAGAACCCAGAUUAUUAAGUCCAAGGUCAAGGUUACACUUGAAUGUCAAAAUGAUGACAACAUUGACUUACCCUGCAUCAAAGCAGCGUCUGGGGGUAACAAUAGCUCUAGUUUAUCAUUUUUAGCGGACAAAAUUUGUAAUUGUAUCAACCAUUUGACAAAUAUUUCCUAAAUUUUAAGAUAAAUAUUUUAAACAAAAAUCAGGAAAUUGUUUUUUUUUUAACACUGAUACAGUCAGACUAUUUUUAGACACAGCGAAUAUUUUAGCUUGGUUUGUUGUCAGUCAUGAUUUUAUGCAAGGUAUUUUUCUAAAUGAUAUUUUUGUUGCAAAUAGCACAUUUGACAUUAAUGUUUAUUAAAUCAGGGACAGCGAAUUUUUGUAAGAAUAAAAAAACAUGAUUUGGUUAACUAUUUCAAAAAGUGUCUCAAAUUUUUGCUCUUUUGAACAGUUGCGUUUUAACUGGUCAGGGAUAGUUUCAAAAAUGAAUAUGUGUAUAAAAAGCUACUUUUCGCAAAUUGCAUAGUUUGGAGCGGGGGCUGAAUUCCAAACUCAAAUAUAUAGAGGACAAUUAUUUGUUUCAGUGUAAGCUCGAAAUAGAAACAUUCUAGUGUUCACACGUGAAAAGUUUUUAAAAAUAAUCACACGGAUUUUAUUCUAAUGCAUUUAAUUAUUAUUUUUAUUUUAUAUUUUCUGCCAACGUAACGCCAUACGCAAUGUGCAACGUUACUCUACAUUUAAUGGCAAUAUAUAGUUUGGAAAAAAGUGACAUAGUGACAUUUUAAUCUACAUGUAGUUAUGUUUUAGUUAAAAAGAUAUCCGAUUCUACGUUAUUCAUAUUCUUGCGUUAAAUUGUGGUUACAUACAAGUGAAAAUUAUAUUUGGAUUUCCCACCUUUAAACAAUGGCUUUAUCAGGGUAUAAUGCAUCGUUGUUUUCUUAACCUUCUCAAAAUAUGAUAUAUAAUUCCAUAUGCUAGUAACUGCAGAAUGUACCCAUAAGACUGUAAUUCUUUUAUUCAAACUCCAUUCUAGUCCUUUGUCUGGGUCAUCUACAUGUUGCUUUUAAAAGUCAUUUGGCCUCAUUUUUGUACACUGAAUUUUACACACAGUUUGGCAUAACUUUUAACCAACACUUAACUCUGAGCACUAACCUUAACCAUUUGGGGCUGAAGUGACUUUUAAAGCAACUUUUAUGGGAACAAGACUAGCAUAUCUAUAUAAAUGAUGGGUAGAAAAAUGUUGGCAAACUUUCAGGUUUUUAGUCUACGCUUUUAAUGGAACGUUAGAUUAUAACAUGAUACAUUCAUUGUUUUAAACGGAGAGAAAUCCAAAUAUGAUGUUCACUAGAACGAAACUACACUUUAACGCGGAAGGAUAUGAAUUGUAAGGACGUGAAAUAUGCUUAAAAGCAACAAAGCUGUAUAGUAAUGCUUUCAAAAAACUAAAAUACACGAGAGAAUCAUUGAAAUAUAAAAUAUUCUUAUACAUCUCUUAGACCUAUUGAACUUAUUUUCCAACAUAAGCAUUGUGACGUCAUGAAAUGUAGCGUAACGUUACCCUUGGCGCAUGUCUUUGCAUGGCUGAAUAAGAAAAGAUAAUAUGAAAAAUAAUUAGUUUAACUCGACAAAACAUUUAAGUUAAGAAUUAGAUAUGAAUGUUUCAUAAUGAAUUAUUUUCACUUGGGAACGCUAGAUUUAAGUUCACUCGGUGCUGAAAUAAACGAAUGUCUUCUAUACCUUUUACAAUAGCAAAUGGGUAAAACUUAAGAUGACAGAAAUAACUAAAACAAUCCCUUACCAUUUUGAAAUGACAGUCAAAGUUUCAUUUUUGGUGCAAAUAUUGUUAUACUGAUUUAUUAAUGAUAUACAUUUUGUACCUUGUAUUGUAGUAACGUAGAUACUUCAAAAUAUAAUUCCAAGCUUACCAUUUUUUCUCAAGGAGUUGAAUUCAAUGAAAUUUUGUACAUAUCGUUUCAAAAUAUAAAAUAAUAGUAUUUUUAGAAGUAUUUUUAUUGUUUUAACACUGUAGUUAUACUUUUUAAAUGUUAUUUGCGAUUAUUUUUUAUAUUUUAUUUCUGUUUGAAAAAUGAAUAAAAUGCCAUACAGUUGUGUUGAUUAUUUUAGUUUAAGAAAUAAAAGGUCAUACAAUUGCA